UGGGGAAUAUUGCACAAUGGGCGAAAGCCUGAUGCAGCAACGCCGCGUGAGUGAUGAAGGCCUUCGGGUUGUAAAGCUCUGUCUUUUGGGACGAUAAUGACGGUACCAAAGGAGGAAGCCACGGCUAACUACGGUGCCAGCAGCCGCGGUAAUACGUAGGUGGCAAAGCGUUGUCGGAUUUACUGGGCGUAAAGGAUGCGUAGGCGGAUUUUUAAGUGAGAAUGUGAAAUACCCGGGCUUAACUUGGGUGCUGCAUUUCAAACUGGGAAUCUAGAGUGCGGGAGAGGAGAAUGGAAUUCCUAGUGUAGCGGUGAAAGUGCGUAGAGAUUAGGAAGAACACCAGUGGCGAAGGCGAUUCUCUGGACCGUAACUGACGCUGAGGCAUGAAAGCGU
rnacentral:rRNA from 1 species